AACAUAUAAUGACCGACUCUUACAAGUCCUUUCAGUUGAAGAGACCCAUCCUCAAACCUUUCAGUAAGUUAAAAUCAAACGCCAAUCAAUUGAUGAAAUCGUCAAAUCUUCUCAGCAAGGUUCCCUCUCUGGUUUUCUGCACAAUUAGUUUCUGAUAAUCACAUUGGAGGAAUAUAUCGUCACCAGAUUGUGAGGCCAUCAUCCUUAUGUUAGAAGCCUGUAAUCCAGCUGAAGCUGGGAUGUUCGUCGAACUUGAGCGUCUAAUCAUUGGACCACCAUGAUGAAAUGGAAUCAAGGAGAGGCAGCGGUAGAAGCUUAUUAUCAGAAGUUGUAUCAACCUUUGUAUAUAAAGGUUUUGUUCCGUAUUACAACAAGUCUUAUUGACCCUUAAAACUGUUGUUUUUGAUGGAGAUUGAGUGGUAUCCUCGAAAAUGUUUGACUCAGAUGGUUAUGUUCUAUAAAAUAAGGCAAAGAAGGGAUCCAAAAAGACAAAGCCGACCAUUAAGACUGAGGAUUGUGAUACUAUAACUUCGGAAACUCAUUUGGUGGUACUCUUUGUUGUGUUCCAGUCACCGGCUCGGCUGGGCAGUAAGUUUGACAAUCACUCAUACGUCCUCGACUGAGUGAUUGUCAAACUUACUGCAAGGGCUGAUGCUAACCUGAGGAGGAUGAUGAUGAAAACAAUAGUAGUUUGUUGUUUUGCUCAUUCUUUGACUUGAUUUAUCAUCUAUCACUUUGGUAUGGGGAAUAACAUCUUUGGUAACAAUUUUCCUUUUUUCUUAAUUCUACUCAGAUUUGAUUUUC